rnacentral:piRNA from 1 species
UCCUUUGGUACCUACUAUUCUCAGGGUA